ensembl:lncRNA
CUGAAGCAACUUAGCAGCAGCAGCAGAGGGGAGAGUCCCUGCUCAGUGGCUAUGACUCAAGCUUGACCUCCACCCAGCUCUGGGGGCUCUGGGGAUGCUAGCCCUUGGGUGCCCAAUCUGGGGAGGCAGGAAGGAGCUCCCAGCUUUUCCAGCUCAGCAAGUCUGCUUGCCACUUCCUGUCCUCCCUGCUUUGGUCAGGGUAAACUGAGGCUCAAAGCUGGUGAUGGACUUGCUGAGGUCACCUGGCUGGUAAGAACUGGCCCUGCGUUGGAAUCCAGGCAGUCUGAUGCCCUCUGACCACCCCUCUACCAAAUGCCUGGCUGUUUGCUUCUGCUGCCAUUACGGUCUCUGUGGCUUGUUCCUCCCCUGCUGGGUGCACAGGGGCACUCUGAAUGUCCCUCCCCACAGCUUGGUGCUUAACCUGUUUACAGACCCCUGGGGAGACGCUAUGGACAUCAGCACAGUGACAGAGGUCAACACACCUGCGUCAAGGAUGGAAAGUGAGAGGAGAGAGAAUGAGGCUUCCUCACCCCGACCCGCGUGGCAUUCCCCAGGAUGAGCCCAGGGAAGACAGGAAUGAGGGGCCCACAGCCACUCAGCCUGGCAGGGCAGCAGCGGGGCCUCACCUGCAGGACGAGAAGGAGAGCUCUGACCUGGAGAGGAAGGCUCUCAUCCAUGAUCAAGACUUGAGCCCUUGAUGUCUGCCCCUUCAACCUGCUCCACUCUGGACUUCUUCUUUUCAAUGACUGGCAGCUCCAUUCACCCAGUUACUCACCCAAAACACUGGACUCUUCUCCUCUUGUUGCCCCUCACAUGCAAACCAGUGGCAAUUCUAUCAGCUGCACCUUCAAGCUGGCCAGCUCUCCUGUCCUCCAUAGCUCCGUCCAGGAGAAAGGCCACUGUCUUUGCCUAGACUGGUCUGUCAUUUCACUGCCCCGCCUCAAACCCUCUGGGCGAUUCCCCACAUUCUUAGAAUGCUAACAUCCAAACCUCUCACAGUGGCUGACAGAUGCCUAGAAAGUAUGCACUCCAUACUCCCAAAUCCUCAACAGAAGGGAGCUGGCCUGGGCUCAUCAUAAAGGGAUCUUGCCCAAUAGAGCUUCCUUGCAGGUGAGGGGCAGUGACAGAAAGAGUCUGGCGUAGGUCACAAAUGGCCACUGGAGGAGGUGAACGCCAUUCCAGAGAGCUGCAUCUGGAGGUUCCUAGUGGGGAGGGCAUGAGGAGGAGCUCUGAGAAACCCAUGCAAGCGCCCAGCUGAGAAAGAUCCAGAAGUUACACAUCAGUCACAGAGAAGGUCAGGAUGUUGGAUCCCAGCUGCAGCAUCAAGAAAGACCUUCUUGGGACUUCCCAGCGGUUGAGAAUCUCCCUGCCAAAGCAGAGGACACCAGUUUGAUCCCUGGUACUGGAAGAUCCCCCAUACCAUGGAGCAGCUAAGCCCUUUGCCCCAAAUGCUGAAGCCAGCAUGCCUGGAGUCCAUUCUCCGCAACAACAGAAGUCCCUGCUUGCCACUACGGAAAGCCUGCAUGCAGCAAUGAAGACUCAGCACAGCCAAAACUAAAGAAA